CGCCUCUAGCAAAACUAAUAUUAGAGGUACUGCCUGCCCAGUGACAACAUUCAACGGCCGCGGUACUUUGACCGUGCAAAGGUAGCAUAAUCACUUGUCUUCUAAAUAAAGACUAGUAUGAACGGCAAAACGAAGGUCUAACUGUCUCCUUUGUCCACUCAAUGAAAUUGAUAUCCCAGUACAAAAGCUGUAAUUAAACAACAAGACGAGAAGACCCUAUGGAGCUUAAAACACACUAGAAAGUACAGUAAAUUUUUACCAAUUUCAUGUACCAAUUCCACAAUGUUUUUGGUUGGGGCGACCACGGAGAACACUAAUCCUCCGAGAUGAUAUACCAGGAAGACAAUCCAAAAUAUCAGAAAACUGACAUAAUUGACCCAAUAACUUUGACCAACGAACCAAGUUACCCUAGGGAUAACAGCGCAAUCCUCUUCAAGAGCCCAUAUCGACAAGAGGGUUUACGACCUCGAUGUUGGAUCAGGAUAACCUGACAGUGUAACCGCCGUCAAAGGUUUGUUUGUUCAACAAUUAAAAUCCU
rnacentral:rRNA from 1 species